rnacentral:rRNA from 1 species
UGGGGAAUUUUGGACAAUGGGCGAAAGCCUGAUCCAGCCAUGCCGCGUGCAGGAUGAAGGCCUUCGGGUUGUAAACUGCUUUUGUACGGAACGAAAAGACUCCUUCUAAUAAAGGGGGUCCAUGACGGUACCGUAAGAAUAAGCACCGGCUAACUACGUGCCAGCAGCCGCGGUAAUACGUAGGGUGCAAGCGUUAAUCGGAAUUACUGGGCGUAAAGCGUGCGCAGGCGGUUAUAUAAGUCAGAUGUGAAAUCCCCGGGCUCAACCUGACAACUGCAUUUGUGACUGUAUGGCUAGAGUACGGUAGAGGGGGAUGGAAUUCCGCGUGUAGCAGUGAAAUGCGUAGAUAUGCGGAGAAACACCGAUGGCGAAGGCAAUCCCCUGGACCUGUACUGACGCUCAUGCACGAAAGCGUGGGGA